AAAGCACACGGACUCCAUGGUGUCCACGUGUGACCUCUGUAUGUGACUAACAGUGCCCUCGGUCUGUUUUCUGAUCUAAAACAGCACCACAGAUGGGACAGAUUGCAUAGCUCAUUUUGGCUCUGGUCCAAGUCUGGUCCAAGGUCAAGGGCUGCAUUUCGUGAUGGCCCUGGGGGCAGAGUUCCUGGCAGAAUGGGUAUGACAUGACAAGUGACCUACCCAAGCUGGCUUUUAGAGCAGACGUGCAGAGCAGUCCACCCUGGAGGGCAGAGCCCCAGUCACGGGGUCCCCCUCUAGGCCUGCAGGGCCCUGCCUCAGUGUCCCAUCUCAGUCCUCCCCCUGUGCACACGGCCCGCCUCCUGGAGCACUGGGGAGAGAACGUCCCCUGUGAGCUGGAGGAGCCCUUGACAACCCGCGUCAACACCCCUUCAGUUCCAGGAACGGGUGUCGACCCGCCUUCCAUUGCUGAGGCAAACACCCAAGGUAACCAACAAGAGGAAGGAUCUUUGGCUCACAGUUUCAGAGGCGCCCGUCCACGGUCUGGCCUGCUACUUCUGGGCAGUGGUGAGGCCGCCAUUAGGGCGGCAGUGCCCAGUGGAAGGAAGCAGUUCACCACAGUGACCAGGUGCAGAGAGGGAAAGGGGCCCGGUGACUUUCCCACCAGGCCCACCUCCUAAACGCCCCCCAGAUAGUGCCACAGGCUGGGGACCAAGCCUUCAGCGCGUCCUCUGGGACACACACAGAAAGCACAGUUUGAUCCCCAGGGAACUGCCCAGAGCUCCUAGCAGGAUCCACAGUGGCCUGGGGCCCUUUGUUUGCCCACCUGCGGUACAGCACUCACUCACCAUGCAUGACGCACUGGGUUUGAGCCUCAGCACCACAUAAAGUAGAAUAAAGACACUGUGUUCACCUAUAACUGAAAGGUAAAUAUUACAAAAAAGAUCUUUAAAAAUUUGGGUGUACAGAGUAUGACUCUAUUUUAUAGGAAACUCUAGAACAUUCAAGCUAAUCUGUAUUGAUUUCUGGGGGAGGGAGGGAUUGCGAAGUCCGUAAGGAAACUUUCGGGAGUGGACAUAUCUGCUCAUUGGCUGGACGGUCGUGUUGGAUCCACAGGUGUGCACGUACUGCAGAACCUAUCAAAUCACAAGCCUUAAGUAAGCACAGGUUAUUGCAAGUGUGUUAUGCCUCAAUACACUGUUUUUUUUGUUUUUUUUUUUUUAAGAGAGAGUGAGAG
rnacentral:lncRNA from 1 species